rnacentral:rRNA from 1 species
UACAGAGGUUUCAAGCGUUGUUCGGAUUCAUUGGGCGUAAAGGGCGCGUAGGCGGCAAGGUAAGUCGGGUGUGAAAGCUUGGGGCUUAACCCCGAAAGGGCACUCGAAACUGCCCUGCUAGAGGGCCGGAGAGGAGAUCGGAAUUCACGGUGUAGCAGUGAAAUGCGUAGAGCUCGUGAGGAAGACCGGUGGCGAAGGCGGAUCUCUGGACGGCCCCUGACGCUGAGGCGCGAAGGCUAGGGGAGCGAACGGG